rnacentral:rRNA from 3 species
UGAACUGCGGAAGGAUCAUUG